GUUUGAUCCUGGCUCAGGACGAACGCUGGCGGCGUGCUUAACACAUGCAAGUCGAACGGAAAGGCCCUGCUUUUGUGGGGUGCUCGAGUGGCGAACGGGUGAGUAACACGUGAGUAACCUGCCCUUGACUUUGGGAUAACUUCAGGAAACUGGGGCUAAUACCGGAUAGGAGCUCCUGCUGCAUGGUGGGGGUUGGAAAGUUUCGGCGGUUGGGGAUGGACUCGCGGCUUAUCAGCUUGUUGGUGGGGUAGUGGCUUACCAAGGCUUUGACGGGUAGCCGGCCUGAGAGGGUGACCGGCCACAUUGGGACUGAGAUACGGCCCAGACUCCUACGGGAGGCAGCAGUGGGAAUAUUGCACAAUGGGCGGAAGCCUGAUGCAGCAACGCCGCGUGCGGGAUGACGGCCUUCGGGUUGUAAACCGCUUUCGCCUGUGACGAAGCGUGAGUGACGGUAAUGGGUAAAGAAGCACCGGCUAACUACGUGCCAGCAGCCGCGGUGAUACGUAGGGUGCGAGCGUUGUCCGGAUUUAUUGGGCGUAAAGGGCUCGUAGGUGGUUGAUCGCGUCGGAAGUGUAAUCUUGGGGCUUAACCCUGAGCGUGCUUUCGAUACGGGUUGACUUGAGGAAGGUAGGGGAGAAUGGAAUUCCUGGUGGAGCGGUGGAAUGCGCAGAUAUCAGGAGGAACACCAGUGGCGAAGGCGGUUCUCUGGGCCUUUCCUGACGCUGAGGAGCGAAAGCGUGGGGAGCGAACAGGCUUAGAUACCCUGGUAGUCCACGCUGUAAACGGUGGGUACUAGGUGUGGGGUCCAUUCCACGGGUUCCGCGCCGUAGCUAACGCUUUAAGUACCCCGCCUGGGGAGUACGGCCGCAAGGCUAAAACUCAAAGGAAUUGACGGGGCCCCGCACAAGCGGCGGAGCAUGCGGAUUAAUUCGAUGCAACGCGUAGAACCUUACCUGGGUUUGACAUGGAUCGGGAGUGCUCAGAGAUGGGUGUGCCUCUUUUGGGGUCGGUUCACAGGUGGUGCAUGGCUGUCGUCAGCUCGUGUCGUGAGAUGUUGGGUUAAGUCCC
rnacentral:rRNA from 1 species